AGUGAACGCUGGCGGUAGGCCUAACACAUGCAAGUCGAACGGCAGCACAGAGGAGCUUGCUCCUUGGGUGGCGAGUGACGGACGGGUGAGGAAUACAUCGGAAUCUACUCUGUCGUGGGGGAUAACGUAGGGAAACUUACGCUAAUACCGCAUACGACCUACGGGUGAAAGCAGGGGAUCUUCGGACCUUGCGCGAUUGAAUGAGCCGAUGUCGGAUUAGCUAGUUGGCGGGGUAAAGGCCCACCAAGGCGACGAUCCGUAGCUGGUCUGAGAGGAUGAUCAGCCACACUGGAACUGGGACACGGUCCAGACUCCUACGGGAGGCAGCAGUGGGGAAUAUUGGACAAUGGGCGCAAGCCUGAUCCAGACAUACCGCGUGGGUGAAGAAGGCCUUCGGGUUGUAAAGCCCUUUUGUUGGGAAAGAAAUCCAGCCGGCUAAUACCUGGUUGGGAUGACGGUACCCAAAGAAUAAGCACCGGCUAACUUCGUG
rnacentral:rRNA from 1 species